GGCCGGUUAGCUCAGUGGUUUGAGCGCACUGCUGGCAACAAUGACCAACACUGAGGUCGCGGGUUUGAUUCCUGCUCAGUCCC
rfam:Apaloderma vittatum contig42896, whole genome shotgun sequence.